AUCUGGAGGCGCGGAGAGCCUCCGCAGGAGUCCAUGAAACACUGAGCGAAGGGGCGCCCCAGGGAGGGCACGACCCAAGACCCCUCCCUCCCGAAGACGUCUCACGGGGAGCCUCUACACUGCUCCUCGCUUCCCCAGCUCUGAUCGUAGCCAUGGCAACGCAUGAGGAGGCUGGAUGCCGGACAGGGCGGCGGAGGGCUCCCCAAACACACCCAACUACAGGAGCAUUCGCGCUGAGGACGAAGCCCGAACGCCAACGCCAACGGGAUGUCCUGGGCGCUCAGCUGCCAUCAGCUGUGCUUCCUCAGGCCACCGGCCACGGCUCUAGGAGGCAGACCCCACCAUCACCCCCAUUCUGCAAAGAACGGAGCCGAGAAAGAGAGAGAAACGGCUGCCCACGGCCGGGAAGAGCAGGAAUUGGAACCAGGGUUUGGGUCCAGAGGAGGAGCUCUCACCACAGCGCUGCUGGAGGCCUGGGGCCCCCGGAACUGAGGAUAUAUCAUGAAUAAUUUCAAGCCCCUUGGGUUUAUCUAGGUACAGGGCCAUCCUGAAGACAGACGCCCCACUCUCUAGAAGCCAUUACUCAGUGGGGCAAAGGACGUGGGCUUUGAUGGGAGACACACAGGCGGCUGUGAGAGCCCAGCAGAAACAAUUCCGCUCCCACGGCUCCCGUCCAUGCCCUCCCACUGCUACCUCAGUGGCUGGCUCCCAUCUCCUUCAAACAUCGAAUAAAUGCCUCCCUCACUGGGGGAUACCACACUGCCCCCUUCCCUUACCAUGCCUCAGUUUCCCUCCUCUGCAAAAUGGAGCAUGGAAUCGCCCCGCCCCAUCUCCAACAAUAGGUGGCCUAGUCCACAAAGCACCAUGCACAGUAGGUGGUCUGUGAGUGUCUGCACACAGGCUCCCUGCCUGCCCCUUUGACACAGAGCACACAGGAGGUGCUAAACACAGGAUGCCGUGACGUCCCCCGUCCCACGCAGCCCCAUCCUCGACGAGGUACACAGUAGGUGCUUCAUGGAGGAGGCUGCCUGGUGCCCCAGCAUCACCAAAGGCACACAGGAGGUUCCCUGUGUCAAUGUAGGCGUAGGAGCAACCAGCGUGACCUCCCCAACUUGGCUGGGCACACAGUGGGCCCUCAGGAGCAGAGUAGGCACCUUGCUUGUAUCUGUGGCAAGGCACGGGGCUCAUACAGACUCGAGUUUGAAUCCAGGGAUGCCCCGUGUGUCAAGAAAGCACCCGUACCUCUCGGGCCGACAGUUUCCCCAUCUGCCACAUAAGCCAAGCACUGAACAGGUGCUCAAUGAAUCCACACUGUCAGGAGGCUUGGGGCUGCAUGA
rnacentral:lncRNA from 1 species